rnacentral:rRNA from 1 species
UACGUAGGGUGCGAGCGUUAAUCGGAAUUACUGGGCGUAAAGCGUGCGCAGGCGGUUGUGCAAGACAGAUGUGAAAUCCCCGGGCUCAACCUGGGAACUGCAUUUGUGACUGCACGGCUGGAGUGCGGCAGAGGGGGAUGGAAUUCCGCGUGUAGCAGUGAAAUGCGUAGAUAUGCGGAGGAACACCGAUGGCGAAGGCAAUCCCCUGGGCCUGCACUGACGCUCAUGCACGAAAGCGUGGGGAGCAAAAGGG